rnacentral:misc_RNA from 1 species
CCGGUAUUGCCCAUGCCGACGACGAGCACACGCUUGCCUUCGAAGAUGUCGGCCGUCUUGUAGUCCUUCGCGUGCAUCAGCUUGCCGCUGAAUUCGCCCGGAAUCUUCGGCAUCAGGGGAUCGCUGAGAUGGCCGUUGGCGAAGAUGACGCUUUCAUAGUCGUCUGCGGUGCCGUUAUCGAAGGUGGCGCGCCAGCUUCCGUCCCGCUGCUCGAUCUUGCUGACUUCGGUAUUGAAACGGAUCGAGGGAUAGAGAUCGAAAUGUUUCGCGAACGACUUGAAAUAUUCCAAUACACGCUCGUGGCCCGGAUAGGCGGGCCAGUCCUCCGGCAUCGGGAAAUCCGCAUAGGCCGUGGUGCGCUUGGAGGAAAUCAGAUGCGUCGAGGCAUAGACCGCGCUGGGCGCCGCACCGUAGAGCCACUGCCCGCCGACAUCGGCGUUCUU